UACGGGGGGGGCAAGCGUUGUUCGGAAUUACUGGGCGUAAAGAGCUCGUAGGCGGACUGUCACGUCCGCUGUGAAAAGCUAGGGCUUAACCCUGGCCUUGCAGUGGAUACGGGCAGACUAGAGGUAGGUAGGGGAGAAUGGAAUUCCCGGUGUAGCGGUGAAAUGCGUAGAGAUCAUGAGGAAGACCAGUGGCGAAGGCGGGUCUCUGGACAGUUCCUGACACUGAGGCACGAAGGCCAGGGGAGCAAACGGG
rnacentral:rRNA from 1 species